CAAGGUGUGGUAGUUCAGUUGGUUAGAAUACCGGCCUGUCACGCCGGGGGUCGCGGGUUCGAGUCCCGUCCGCA
rnacentral:tRNA from 3 species